AUACCGUGAACUGCGAMMGGCUCAUUAAAUCAGUUAUCGUUUAUUUGAUAGUACCUACUUACUUGGAUAACCGUGGUAAUUCUAGAGCUAAUACAUGCUAAAAACCUCGACUUCGGAAGGGGUGUAUUUAUUAGAUAAAAAACCAAUGCCCUCCGGGGCUCCCUGGUGAUUCAUAAUAACUAAACGAAUCGCAUGGCCUUGCGCCGGCGAUGGUUCAUUCAAAUUUCUGCCCUAUCAACUUUCGAUGGUAGGAUAGUGGCCUACCAUGGUGGCAACGGGUAACGGGGAAUUAGGGUUCUAUUCCGGAGAGGGAGCCUGAGAAACGGCUACCACAUCCAAGGAAGGCAGCAGGCGCGCAAAUUACCCAAUCCCGACACGGGGAGGUAGUGACAAUAAAUACUGAUGUGGAGCUCUUUAGGGUUUCACAAUUGGAAUGAGAAAAAUCUAAACCACUUAAACGAGGAACAAUUGGAGGGCAAGUCUGGUGCCAGCAGCCGCGGUAAUUCCAGCUCCAAUAGCGUAUAUUAAAGUUGUUGCAGUUAAAAAGCUCGUAGUUGAACCUUGGGCCUGGCCGGCCGGUCCGCCUCACCGCGUGCACUGGUUCGGCCGGGCCUUUCCUCCUGGGGAACCGCAUGCCCUUCACUGGGUGUGCCGGGGAAUCAGGACUUUUACUUUGAAAAAAUUAGAGUGUUCAAAGCAGGCAUUUGCUCGAAUACAUUAGCAUGGAAUAAUAGAAUAGGACGUUGUGGUUCUAUUUUGUUGGUUUCUAGGACCGCCGUAAUGA
rnacentral:rRNA from 1 species